GAGGACUAGCCCCCCUCCCCCACCCCGCCCCCUGGCGCUAGCGUUCGGCCGCGCGCCCGCGCCACCUAGGGGCGGGGCUGAGGGGAGGGGCCUAUGCAAAUAUGUUUACGUUAAAUUUCAGCCUUGCUUCCCCGAAGGAGGAGAGCCUGUACUGCCCCGCGCCUCGCGUGGUGGUUGGGGAGGGGGUUGCGGCUUCAGGAGGCGGGUCUUUAGCUUUCGUGCACCUUUACCAGGAACCUUUACCCCACUCGCCGUGGCGGACUCGUGCUCUGCGAGUCUCGCCGGGAGGCUCCUGGGCCCGGGCACUGCGUGUGUCUCGGCCUGUGGAAGUCACCUUACAAAAUUUCCUUUCCCUCACCUUGCACGAAGGAGUAAGAUCUUUGGGAAGCGGGGAGUGGAGAGUGCGAAUGCAGGUCCCCGGAUUGACAAAACAAUCGGAGAGAAGUGCAUGCGUGCUUUGCACGUCUGGCGGAGCAGGAGAGCCGGCUCAACAACCUAGCGGCAGACUAGGGGAUAGUUGGGAGACUGAAGCCGUGGAGUCUGGUUCUGGGAUUUUCAAGUGGAUGUUUGGCUGUAGAUUCUGGGGAAAGGUAAAUCGAGAAGACCGUGUGCGCUCUGACCCUCUGUUGCUCAAGCAUCAAAUUGAAGGACGAGCCGUAUUAAGUGUAAAGGUUUAUAAUAAUUUAAGUAUUCAUAGAAUGCAGAACAAUAAGAUGUAGGAAAUACAAUUUGCAUAAUAAAUAUCAAUAUCACAACAGCUAAAACAAACCAUGACAAAUUAUAUGUGGCUAAAUGACCAAGAAAUUACUGCAUGUAAUUUGCUGAAUCUGAACUAUAGUCUAGAAGAGCUGUACCAAGCCCUCUGUCCUCAUGUUGCAAAUAAAUUUUAAAAAAGAAACAAAUAUCAAAAAGGAAGUUAAGAUCGGCCAACCCAUCAAAUGAGUUACACAUUAAAACAGCCUCGUAUUAUCCAUUAUGCAUAAACUAAUUUUCGAAACUGCCCUGUCUUCCACAUCCCUGGAUCUUCUGCUCUGUAAUUACAGGCCCCAAACGCACGAACUGCAGGCAGCCCUCCAGAAGUAGAGAAAGCUCCAGUAGGCAAAUCACAGUAUAUGAGGCAGAAAACCAACACCACCACGUGACCACCAGGAUACUGCCCAGUCGGCAAAAACCAGAAGUGAAACUACCUGGAUCAGACCUGUUACAAAGCAGAUUUCUACCAAAAUCAGAACGAAAAACACAGAGGCUGUCCAUUCUGACAACAGAAUGUACUGCAAAGUCAGAUCCUGUAUGCCGGCCACAACAACACAGACCCCGACACUAGAGAAUAGUCACCACUCUUCAUAGGACUGCUACUCUUGUGACCUUGAGUUCUUAUCAAGAAAUUCUUGUGCAUGAUCUUCUUUAAUCUCUGAAACUACCUUCUAAGUAGAUACUAUUUAUUUUCCCCAUUUUUUUACAACAUGGUUAGACAAAUUAAACACCAGCCUCUAAAAAAAAAAAAAAUCAUGAUUUCUAAAUUGCAGGCAGAGAGGUAGAGCCCUUGAAACUAACCACUCUGCUGCACUGUGCCUCAAUAAAUAUGUGUUAAGUGAGGGAAUAAAUUUCACAUCGUAAUGCAUGGAUAAUAAGCAAAGGAGAGCUGUAUUUUUAACAUAAGGUGAAAAUAUGCCAGCCACCCAGAAACGUUUUUUGAAAAUAACAGGAUUGGAGCAGACUCCUAAGGAAAAGCAUUCCUCAUGAGGCUGAGGCUCCAAGAGAAUCUAGCCAGGCCCGAGUCCUCCCACUCUCAGAACGCAGUAUGGGGACAUUGGAAGAUGUGGAGUGUUUUCAUCUCCCUUCAUUCUCUUGGCACAUCAAAUGAACACCUACUCAAAUUUCCAGUUGGCAAAGAACAACAUGGGACAUUUCUAUAGGAAAUGCCAAUGCUGCGUGGCUUACCUCACUGGAAGAAUGCAAACGCCUUUAAAGAUUUCCUCAGAAAUGCCACCUGCCAUGCAGAAUUUGAGGAAGUUGGCACAUCCACUUUUACCAGGUAUGGAAACUGAGGACUGAUAGUCCUUCCACACCAGGAUCUUUCUGGGAACCAGAGGUGAGGCAAAGCAAGCUGUUGUUCCUCUGUCCCCUAGCCACACUCCCCUUCCACCCCCUCCCCCCAGCUCUUUCACACCUAAGAUGUCGCCAAGCAUUUUAACAUAUGGAACAAGCUAGGAAAGCAUCAAAUUCCCACAGCCGCUAAGUACAAGUUUUGACUGUCCCGGCUUUCUCGUAGUAAAGCGCUUCAUUUUCCUGCUCCACGGACUAGAACUUGUCGCCAGGAACAACUUCCAGCAUUUUUUCCCGUGCUACAUGGAUUGAACCAAUUUUAAAAACCAGAUGGUGUUUUUGCCAUUUAUAACUGAUAAUCAAUUGUUUUGUGAAUUUAAUUUUUUUCAAGAAAGAACCGAAAUACUUAUCAGAAUUACAAUCUGGGCCCAACUUGUGUUAGAAAGAAAUUGCCAAAUUGCACCAAAGCGCUCUCUCUCUCUCUCUCUCUCUCUCUCUCUCUCUCUCUCUCUCUUUGUCUCUUUCCCUCUCUCUCUCCCUCCUUCCCUCCCCCUCCCUCAAUGAGAAACCAGAGAGAAAGAAGAAAGAGAAAGAAAAUUGGUCACCAUCACCAAAACAGUCGAGAAAUGUGGGUAAACAUAUAUAAAAAACAAGCAUUAAAGGAGACUCGUGUUUGUGGAAAUAUAUCAGAGAUAAUUAAUGGCAACUAGUAACAUCUUGCCUCUUAAAAUGCUAAUUAUUUUAAUACCCAUGUAUAAGAGCAACUCAGACAAAUUAUUAAGAAAAAGAAAACGGUAGUUGGAGUCAGCAUUUGCCCGGCUACUGGAUUGUUUAAAUAUUCAUAGAAAAGUGUUUUUUAAUUCAUGUUAGAGACUGAUCCCUAACUCGAACUCUCUCUCUCACACACACACACACACACACACACACACACACACACACGAAUGCACACAUGCGUGCGCACACACAGACAGACAGACAUACACACACACACCAUACAAUGAAACUCAAAGCCCCAGCACAAUACUAUUUGGCGGUGGGCCCUUUGAGAGAUAAUUAAGUUUAGUUCAGAUCAUAAGGUUGAGGCCUCCAUGAUGCUGUUAAAUCCUUCUGAAAAGAAAGAGACAACAGAGUUAGUUCUAGGGGCAUACACAAAGGGAAUGUGACACACUCACGGUGACCUCACAGUGACAGGUUGACUUGGCAAACCAAGAAAAGGGUGCUCACUAGUGAUUGAGACUUUAAACCUCUGGACCAGUGGUUGUGACCCCCUUGCAGGAGGGGAGGUAGUCAAAUGACCCUCUCAUAGGGGUCACCUAAGACCAUUGGAAAACACAGAUAUCUACAUUACAACUCAUAACAGUAACAAAAUUACAGUUAUGAAGUAGCAAUAGAAGAAAUUUUAUGGUUGGUGGUCACUACAGCAUGAGGAACUGUAUUCCAGGGUUGUAGCACUAGGAAGAUUGAGAAUUGAUCUAGAUUUUAAGAAUGGGAGGAAAAUAAUUUUGUGUUGUUUCAAGCUCUAGCGUCUUAAAUUAGGGUUCAUGACCCCCUAUGGAGUCAUGGAGAGGUCAUUUUAAAAACUGACCACAGUGAGUUUUCUUAACAUGCAACAACCAAAAAGCAACUCAAAAUCCAAAAGUGAUGAAUUUGAGAUGUUUCUGACAGCCCCUACUGUUGUUGCUCUGUGUGAUGUCACGGUAACCUUGGCUCAUAACACACAACACACACGCACACCAUGCAAUGUCAGCAAACCCUGCCAGGAACACCUGAGCUCAAGUUCAAAACCACCAUAGGCCACGACUUGCAGUGCAUUGCUUUUUUGCCCUUAGAGAAGCACGAUGGUUUAAGUAUGAGAAACAAAGACGCUUUCUAUUUUCCUACAGUCAUUCCUCAGCAGGUCUCAAAUUAGUGCAUCUUUGGAUUGUUCUGGGUCACGGUGUUUGUCUUUAAGAAAUUACUAGAUGAAUUGAUGACUUAAAAUUUUAUUUUAAAGUCAUUCAGAUAAUUUGGGUUUGGGACAGAAUUUCUAAUAUUUUACAAAGUAGCCCUACACCGGUUUCUGCCAUUUUAUGCGACACAUCUUUGCAAACCAGCAUUCCCGGUUUUGACAACUAUUGGGUGGCACUAUCAGUCAACUCAGGAAAGUACUGAAUUCUGCGUCUUCCAGUAUCAAAUGCCCAGCUAAGGUUCAAGUUUCAUGUAGAGGUGAAGAAGUACAGCCCACCUCAUGCAAGUUAGCAUCCAUCUUUAACAGAUGGUAACACUCUAUGAGCACCAAAGGAUUAUCUCUAAAAUUUUUAUUUAUGCUUUUCAUCGAUAAGCAUUUCAUUCAUUUACAUGUUUUGUAUAUUUUUAUACCAGGGGUUGCAUAGAAAUUUCCUGGGCAAAUAAGAAUUGCAAGGAGAAAACAUUUUAGAAGUCCUGGUCUAAGCCAUCUAGCCUCUAGUAUUUUGUUAUAGCCUCUAGUAUUUUGUCUUAGCAAUGCAGGUCUGCUAGAACAAUCUGGUGCCUUAUUAAAGGUACAUCAAAGUAUCCUUAAUGCCAGCUUCUUAGAGUAAAGUAUUUGACAGAUAAAUGUAAGUUGGCAGCAAAUUGGAUGAGGUACACCCUUGGCCCCAGGGCUUCUGCAGUCUUAGAUUAAGACUAAGCACUAAACAGCUUGUUUUUGUGAGGAUGAGUCUAUGAAUCUUUAUGAAACCCAAAGCCAGUUAAAUCCAUAUUCCUAAAUGAGUAAGUUAAUGCUUUACUCAAAAGUUUAUUCUUCUAGAAUCAGAGUUGACAAUAAUCUCUCGAAUAUCAAGAGUUGAGUACAAACUGGCAAGAAGAAAGCUAGUAAAGAAGUAGGUUUCAGGAAACUACCCAUGAAUGGGUCAAGGAGCAAUCUCUAAUCCCACAGAAGGAAAAUUUACUGCUGCCUUUCAAGUCAUAGUUCGUUCCACUCAACAUUGUGGGCAUACACCCAGGUAUCAAUGUCAGAUCCAAAUACACACCCAACAAAGGAGGAACAUUCGGAGUGUCUCUGUGAAACAGUCAGUUACACCUUGGAAAUAUGUUAAUGAAAAGAUCUAUCUAGUGUCCGGUAACUCACAGCUCAGUAGGGAAAGCAGAUACACAACUAUUUUUUUUAAGAUUUAUUUAUUUAGUGUAUAUGAGCACACUGUUGCUGUCUUCAGGCACACCAGAAGAGGGCACCAGAUCCCAUUUCAGAUGGUUGUGAGCCACCAUGUGGUUGCUGGGAAUUGAACUCAGGACCUCUGGAAGAGCAGUCAGUGCUCUUAACUGCUGAGCCAUCUCCCCAGCCCAAGAUACACAGCUAUUAACAUAUACUUAUUUUAUGAUUUGGACACAGCUACACCAAGACACAAAAGAAAGACCUUUACAUAUUCAGAAUGCCUGCCUAUCAACAAAACAUCCUAGUAAGAGAAGCCUCUUUUGCUGAAUGAAUCUUAAACGUUAUGACCCCACACAAUGGACUAAAAUUGAAAUAUGUUGGGGUAAGGAAGCGAUGAUUAGAGACAAGUGUCCUUUAUAAGUUUCAAAAGCCUUAGAGAAUACGAUAUAUAUUUAGAAAAUUACAAACAGAAUAGCUAUCCCUGGGCAUCUGCACUCUCACACAAAUAGAAUGGUUAGAAUAUAGCUUAACAGAAAACAAGCAUCAGGAAAAGAAACUGGACACACGCAUACACACACAUACACAGUCAUGUGCCAAGCAAUAUCAUAGUUGAUAAGCUAAGAUGUUUUUUAAAAUUUAAGUAAUGGAAAUUCACUCAACUAGUUAAACUGAACUGCCAGAUUUAUAUUUGAGAAAGAUUACACUGGUGGAAUGAAUGCCUUUGAGAGUUGAGCUGUGGUAAGUACUGAUGACAGUUCCUGAAGAUAGGAACUCAGGAAACCCAGGUUUGUUUUAAAGUUUCACUGUUUGGGUGAUGGACACUGGGGAGAAGAUGAUAGUUUUAUUUUUGGACAUGAUGGCUUUGAAAUAGAAAAUAUUCAGCCAAGCAAUAGAACAGUGGAAAUGAUGGUCUAGAACUCAGACCAGCCAUUGUAGUGGACUCAUGGGUAGAGACUGAACCCACAGAACUAGAGGGUAAUGGGAUGGGGAAUUAGUGUGGAUAAGGUAUAUUGGAUGAUGUGCUGGCUACUCUUACAUCAACUUGACACUAAAAUUAUCUGAAAGGACAAUGCCUCCCCGGUAGUAAGGGGAUGAUGUAAUAUAAUGAUUGAUGGAGGAGGGGGCCAGCCCAUUGUGGAUGGUGCCAUCUUUGGGUUCAAUAAAAAAAAGCAGGGGCUGGGGAUUUAGCUCAGUGGUAGAGCGCUUGCCUAGGAAGCGCAAGGCCCUGGGUUCGGUCCCCAGCUCCGGGGGAAAAAAAAAGGCAGGCUGAACAAGCCAUGGGAGCAAACCAGUAUGCAGCGUUUUUCCAUGGCUCUGCAUCACCCUCCUGUCCUUUUUGUGUUCCUUCCUUCAGUGAUAGACUAUGGUCUGGAAGUGUUAGCUAAAUAAAUCCUUUCCUUCCCAGCUUGCUUUUUUGGUCAUGUGUUUCACAGCAAUAGAAACCCUAAGACAGAGGAUUGUUUAAAAAAUAAGUCAAAAGAACUACUAUUGACAGACAUGAAUUAGAUAGACCCUGAGACUGAAGGACAUGGGUUAAGAAAAGAGUGAAAAGCGGUGAAGGCAAAGAAAGAGAGAGACUAGCCAUGCUACUCACUACAACCAGGUCAAAGGUUAUUGGACGUUGGCAUUAGAGAAAAGACCAUUAGGGUGAUGUCCAGCAUGUGGCUAACCUAACAUUCACAUAAGCAGUUUGAGUAGAGUUUGACAUAGCAAGGGAUUCUCUUGUUUGCCGGCAGAGCAGGAAGACAUGACUUGCUGGAGCUUUUCUAAUACAGAGAAAGAGCUUUAGAGUUUCCAAUCUGACAUUCAAUCUCAUUGGCCCUGACAGACAGCCUUGGGUGGAUUAGAGGGAUUGUUGGAGCUGAGGUAACUCAGCUAAUUAUAACAUAUAGACCUUAGUUUUUAUUUCCAAACUUGAAAAAAAAAUAGUUGUGGUCCUGCGAAAGUUUCCUCUCGUACUUUAGAAGUCACAUUUUCCUGAUACAAUAUUGUAAUUGUCUGAUGAAGCACUGUGAUAAUUCCAUACGGCGUAACUUCCCAGGCAAUGAGAUUUCAGCAAGAUCCAUUAUAUCUAUAGAUUUUCAUAAAGCCGCAAUAUAAACCGGCCACACUAUGAAUAUGAGAUGGUACUGCUCAGAGAUGGCGAUGGCAACGCAACUUCUUUGUAAGAUGGGUUGUACGCAGGACACAGCCUGAACAGAAAUUCUGUCUUUUUUUAAAAGAUUUAUUUAUUCAUUAUAUAUGAGUACACUGUAGCUGUCUUCAGACACACCAGCAGAGGGCAUCAGAUCCCACCACAGAUGGCUGUGAGCCACCAUGUGGUUGCUGGGAAUUGAACUCAGGACCUCUGGAAGAGCAGUCAGUGCUCUUAACCUCUGAGCCAUCUCUCCAGCCCCACAGAAAUUCUCUUAGUGAUCCAUCUUGAAGCCUCAAACAGGAAAAGUUCGUAGAAUGUUCUAGAGAGCCUAUACUUUUGCUGCCUUGGGUGGCCUCUUGGGGGGUGGCCCUGCAUUUAUUUGUCCUUAAGUAUCAAAUGGUACUCACCUUUCCCAACUACAUUUUCAGUCGGAUAUUCCACUCCUGUUUUUUCCUUCUCGUGCUCCCUGCCUAAGGGGUCGGAGAUGUGGAUUUUUUGCACCAAAGUGCCCACAUUUGUGGCUUCUUGAGAUUCUGUCUGGUGAAGUGACUGUGUAAAGUGAAAGCCUGGUGUCCUGAGUCUUUGCGGCUAAUGUGCCGAAAGGCACAUCGUGCACACACAUAAAUAAUAAGUAAACACACACCUAAAUACUUAAAAGUAACCAAACCUCUGUCUGGUUUACAACACACAGCAAAAGCUACGUUUCCAAAAGUCUGUGUAUAAUUUUCCCAGUGCGACUCGUGCCUACGUUAGAGUCUUAGUAAAUCCCCUGUUAACUCUUUGAAAACGCAGAGGUUUGUCAAAAGGGUUUUGGAGAUGGAGUAAUCAUCUUACAUGUUUGCAGCAUUAAAUAGUCAUCCCCCAACUCUGCUCUCCUUUAAAAGUCAUUUCUACUCCCCAAGGAUGCCUUCCUCUUAGCCAGUGGGAGCCCCACACGGGACUUUGAAUAUUCUCCCGUACCUGUCCCCAGACCGUGAAGAACUGGAAUGCGGUUUGUUUGAAGUAUCGUGUUUUGAAGAAAAAGCAAGGUUUAAUUUCAGUCCUUUAUGCUCUCUGAUAGCAUUGUCACAUGCUAAGCUAUUUCUCUAAGACUUUUCGUUGCAGUGAUAACAUUUCUCUAUAUAUUUUAUUUAUGUGGCUUGGUCCACGAUGAAUAACACAUUUAUGCAAAAAUCUCAAUAUAUCUAGGAGAUGCCAAUACACAGAAGGGGCAAACUUCUCCUACAGUGUAGUUAAUAAAAUGCAGUAAAUCGCAUAUAGUUUCAGAGGCAAUUAGUACAGUUCGUGACUUCAAUUACAAAAAAAAAAAAAAAAAUAAGAGCCCUUAUGAUUUCUAGUAAUUGUUAUUUAUCUUUCAUCUGAAGUGUUCCUCUUGUCUGCAUCAGCUUUGGCCUGGAAAUAGCAUCGACAGUGGGGAAAGUACACAGUCUCCGCUCGCAGCACUAGAAGGAGAGAGAGAUGAGGAUCGGGACCUCAGAGCUAACUGUUCUUCCUGGAGAGGUCUGGCUAUGGGAGUCACCACCAAAGUACAGGCUAAUAUCCCUUGCCUCCUAUUUUCCUGGGGACAUCAGAACUCGGCACCAGAGUGAAAACUCCUUCCUGGUUACUGCUGUCCGCAGGCAGAUACUAAUACAGUGUGCACUGCUAGUUAACAUUUUGGUGACUGUCUGUGACAUCUGAAAACACCGGAUGGAUGUAUUUGUCUCCUUCAUUCUUCUUGGUACCUCCUCUUUUCUGAAUUUUUUCCCAAUUUCAGACACUGGCUUCUUCACCUAUUACUCUUCAUUUUCUAUUAAAAGAACAAAUGCCUACAAAA